GGGCAAUUAGCUCAGCUGGAUAGAGCGUCGGCCUCCGGAGCCGAAGGUCGGGCGUUCGAACCGCCCAUUGCCCACCA
rnacentral:tRNA from 1 species